CAAUAAGCUGGCCAUAGAGAAGAUGAAAACAGUCUCGCUCUUCCUUUCCCGGAAAGAGUUGAGAGCUAAAAAAAAUAAAACAUGCUUAUAUACUCGUUAAGGGUUUCGCUCUUCUUUAUGGGCCUUGAGGGGCUAAUAAGCUUCGGCCCAAUUAGAUUAUUCUGUUCAAUCGUCCGUUGACUUUUUUCAUACAACCAAAAUCAAUCUUCAUGAUUGGUGAUUGCAACCAUAUAUGUAUCUUAUCAGGUAUAUAUGGUUAAGGGUUAGUGUUUGCAACGGCUCGGUAGUCCGCUUCUGUCGACAUUCCAGAUACGGGAUGACUUCCAAGGUAGUAGAUUAUGUAGGCGUUGGUAGGAGCAGUCUGCAUCCUAGUAGGCAUGAAGACUGAGUCAGUUCUUGUGCAGUAGUAAGUAACAGUACCUGCCACAAGUCAUUCUUUUAAGCGCAAGUAAAACUAUAGCACAUAGCACAAGAAAAAUACCAUACCUGUUCUAGCAAGGCAGAGCAAUAAACAGAAUUGCAGGAUCUGCUUAGCAAAUAGGGCAAGUAACUGAAACCUCCUCUGUUGUGCUUGAAAACUUGUCCUUGGCGAAUGGACUAAGAAUCAACUUAAGAGUUGAGCAGCGGAAGAAACAACAAGAGCAUUUCCUGAAUAUCCCCAAUCAACUCAAAAGUUGAAUGCCAAACAGAACCACAAAAUCAGAUCCAACAUAACAUUUCUGACGGCAGGCAAGACAAAUACUCAUCAGAUAAGUCUAAAAAGAAUACCUGCUGUGGAUACAUUUUUGAAAUUUGCUACUUUUGAAAAUAAUGGGGAGCUCAUAUACAAGAAAGUGAUCCCUACCCCAAAAGAGGAGUGCUCGAAGCCAGUUCAGCUUUGAGUCAAGCUUUGCAGGUGGAUACAUUGCAGGUGGAUACAUUGCAGGAAUUUUCUGUACAGUCAUCUCACAUCCUGCAGAUAACUUCAUCUCUCUCCUCAAUAACUCUAAAGGAGAUACUGUUACUGAUGUGAGUGAAAUUGCAUACAAAUCCGUACUUCACCAGAACAGCCAACAGCUCAGAUUCAUCCACUGAUAUAUAUAUAUAUAUAUAUAUAUAUAUGGCUACUUUUGGCUGCUACCGACUUGGUUGUUAUUCUUUCACAUGCUACAGGCAGUAAAAAGGCUAUUUUUUGGGGUAUGUUAACUAGGGGCCCUCCACUUCGCAUUUUCAUGAUAGGAACACUAACAGGAGCGCAGUGGGUUAUCUCUGAUGCUGUCAAAGUUUUAGCUGGAUUUUACUGCGCUUGCUCCAUCUGUAAGUGCAUAAAACUACAAGGACAUUCCAUCGCAUAGCCAUAAACACUAGACCAAUAAAAGGGAA